rnacentral:rRNA from 1 species
CCUACGGGGGGCAGCAGUGGGGGAUAUUGCACAAUGGGGGGAACCCUGAUGCAGCGACGCCGCGUGGGUGAAGGAGUGCUUCGGCAUGUAAAGCCCUAUCGGCAGGGAAGAAGCACGACGGUACCUUACUAAGACGCCCCGGCUAACUACGUGCCAGCAGCCGCGGUAAUACGUAGGGGGCGAGCGUUAUCCGGAUUCACUGGGUGUAACGGGAUCGUAGCCGGCCAUGCAAGCCAGGGGUGAAAGCCCGGGGCCCAACCCCGGGACUGCCCUUGAAACUGCAUGGCUGGAGUGCGGGAGGGGCAGGCGGAAUUCCUGGUGUAGCGGUGAAAUGCGUAGAUAUCAGGAGGAACACCGGCGGCGAAGGCGGCGUGCUGGACCGCGACUGACGUUGAGGCUCGAAAGCGUGGGGAGCGAACAGGAUUAGAUACCCGGGUAGUC